rnacentral:rRNA from 1 species
UUGACUUUAGUUCCCGCCGGCGACCGGCGCACGGGUGAGUAACACGUAUCCAACCUGCCUCAUACUCGGGGAUAGCCUUUCGAAAGAAAGAUUAAUACCCGAUGUUAUAGUCCUACCGCAUGAUGGGAUUAUUAAAGAAUUUCGGUAUGGGAUGGGGAUGCGUUCCAUUAGUUAGUUGGCGGGGUAACGGCCCACCAAGACAACGAUGGAUAGGGGUUCUGAGAGGAAGGUCCCCCACAUUGGAACUGAGACACGGUCCAAACUCCUACGGAAGGCAGCAG